rnacentral:rRNA from 1 species
UGGGGAAUAUUGCACAAUGGGGGAAACCCUGAUGCAGCGACGCCGCGUGAACGAAGAAGGUAUUCGUAUCGUAAAGUUCUGUCCUAUGGGAAGAUAAUGACAGUACCAUAGAAGAAAGCUCCGGCUAAAUACGUGCCAGCAGCCGCGGUAAUACGUAUGGAGCGAGCGUUGUCCGGCAUUAUUGGGCGUAAAGGGUACGCAGGCGUUUUAAUAAGUCGAAUGUUAAAGAUCGGGGCUCAACCCCGUAAAGCAUUGGAAACUGAUAAACUUGAGUAGUGGAGAGGAAAGUGGAAUUCCUAGUGUAGUGGUGAAAUACGUAGAUAUUAGGAGGAAUACCAGUAGCGAAGGCGACGUUCUGGACACAAACUGACGCUGAGGUACGAAAGCGUGGGGAGCAAACAGG